UCUCUUCGGCAGGAGGAAGGCAAGAGGCUCCUGGACGAGGCCGAUGUUCACAUGCCCAAGGUUUCCGUACUUGGAGAGCUGAGUGGGUGGAAUGCCUGACCCACAGGUCUGUGCUAUCUGAGCUGGUGGAAAAAGGACUUGGAGACAGCGAUUUAAAUAAGGAACAAGGUCUUCCAGGAAGACAGUGCAGAACUGGACAAAGAGCUCUUGCUCCCCACUGCUGAAAGCAGCCUCUUCUGCGCGAUGGAAGGCCAGGAUUGUUUUGGUUACCUAGGAGACAGGGGCACCAUCAGUCACUAGACUAUCACCAUCAGUGGUACCUGAAACUAAGCACAAAUAUGCAGCCCUCAAGUUUUCAUAAAGAAAGUCAUUCCAAACAG